GCUGGGCAUGGCAGCAUGUGCCUGUAAUCCUAGCUACUUGGGAAGCUGAGGCAGGAGGAUCGCUUGAGCCCAGGAGUUUGAGUGCAGCCUGGGCAACAUAGUGAGACCCUGUCUUUA
ensembl:misc_RNA Metazoa_SRP Metazoan signal recognition particle RNA